rnacentral:rRNA from 1 species
AGCAGCCGCGGUAAUUCCAGCUCCAAUAGCGUAUAUUAAAGUUGUUGCAGUUAAAAAGCUCGUAGUUGAAUUUCGAGACCGGCUUACUGGUCGUGCUAUUGUACGUACUGGUAUAAUCGGUUUCUCCUUUCUGACGAACCAUAAUGCCAUUAAUUUGGUGUUAUAGGGAAUCAGGACUGUUACUUUGAAAAAAUUAGAGUGUUUAAAGCAGGCUCACGCUUGAAUACAUUAGCAUGGAAUAACGGAAUAGGACGUUUGAUUCUAUUUUGUUGGUUUCUAGGAUCGACGUAAUGAUUAAUAGGGAUAGUUGGGGGCAUUAGUAUUCAAUUGUCAGAGGUGAAAUUCUUGGAUUUAUUGAAGACUAACUACUGCGAAAGCAUUUGCCAAGGAUGUUUUCAUUAAUCAAGAACGAAAGUUAGGGAUCGAAGACGAUCAGGAUACCGUCGUAGUCUUAACCAUAAACUAUGCCGACUAGGGAUCGGAUGAUGUUAAUUUUUUAAUGACUCAUUCGGCGCCUUAC